UUUCGUCCCGAGAUCAAAAUUGUCACUCCAUCUCUCUCGCGAGCCCUCUCUUGCCCCGCGACUCCUCGCCCCCACCGCCACUCACGCCGGCCGAUUCCGGCGAGUCCCGAUGGCAGGUGGCAGACUGACGACCUCCCCUUGCUCUGCUCCUUCCUCCCAUCCCUCCAGAUCCGGCCUCCCGCGCUCGCUGCCGACCCUCAGCCAUGGCUAGGGUUUCGGGCGCGGCGUCCCCUUCGUCGCCGGCGAGGCUCUGGCGGCCUGCGGUGGCUCGUCCCGCCCACGUGUGGCUCCGCCUCAUGGACGUUCCUCCCGCGCCCACAAUGAAAUCCAUUUUCUCUUUGUGUGUGUGUUGGAUUUGGAUUUAGAUCGAGGAAGGAGAGAUGUCGUGGGGAUGAGGCGGUGGACAGAGGAAGAGGGCGGAUCUGGAUCCAGGCGGCCGUGUAUUUGAUCUGUUUGUUGAAAUGAUCUUAUCUCCUCUCAUCUGCCAUCUCUUCUCUCACUGACCCCGCCUCUCUCGUCUCUGCAGGUAGAGUGGCCAGAGGAGCAGGCCAACAUCCCUCUUUACCUUCCACCCAACACCAAUGUGGUACUUUGUUAGGUGACACAUGCGCCUUCAUUUCAAGUGCAAGCCGCCUCUCUCACUGUGCAUUGUCUCUAGACGCACCACCGUCGGCCGCAGCUGCCGACUAUACAUAUGAUCCAUGUGUCGUGUUUAGUCUCUCUGUAAGACUUGAUAUGCCUGCGUUCCGACAGACUCUGCCUCUCUUUUGGAGAUCACCCACCUUUUGGAAGAUGUUCAUUUUUGAUUUCAACCGCUGGACGACUCAUGUACUUCUGUUAAUAUAGACCCGCUAGCUUGCUCUGCUAGCUAUGUUUUAUGGCUGAA